UGGAGCCAGUCCAGUUCCCAUACAUCCUGAUGAUACUUCAGAGAAUACAGAAGAUUAUGAUCUUGUGUCUGUGAGUUCCCAGUCAGAUGGAGAAGAGAGUUCCCUGUCAGACGUAAACUUAACUUACAAGCGAAGGAGGCUAUAUUACCAGUCAAUGUCAGAUGAAGUAGAGAGUUCUCAGGCGUAAAUGUAACUGACAAGUGAAGGAGGCUAUACUACCAGUCAGGUGUAGAUGCCAGUUCGCAGUCAGACCUAAAUUUUCAAACUAGAAUUAUUUGUUAUUCUGAGGUAAAUCCUUCUUUUUAUUUUAUAUUGAAAUGAUAUAUAUUUUUUUCCCUACCAUAGUGGCAUGGUGAUUUCAUUUGAGUAAAUUAUUGGAAGUUCAAUCCAUAGAAGAUGAAGUUGUCAAUGCUUUGUUCAGCUUGAUAGUUAUGCUCUGCAACUGGAUGUUGUGUUCUUCUUCUACUGGUCCAAGCAUUUAGAUCUUGUCUGUCAGCAUCUACCACAUGGGCAUACAUUUGAGCUUAUUGCUGGACAUCCUGAUGAUAUUUUAGAGGAGAAUUAAUGAUGAUGCUAUAAAAGAUUAGAGGAUCAAGGGUGUGGAAGUCAGCAGCACACUCCGGAACAACUUAUUAGCUCAUAGGUGUUAUUGUUGUGUUGAGGUUCAGUCAACAGCACAGAAUGGAGCAUAAAGUUGAGCUUGCAUCAUAAGCAUAUUGAGGUCGCUACUGAACAGUCUUAAUAUCAUCAUAUCCCCGUGAUUUUUUAUGGUGCUGAGGAUCCAGAGGUGUUAUUUCUAUUCUUUGUCAUUUUGCUUAUUAAAAUUUCUUGAUUGAUUGAUUUUUUAUCUUUAUAGUUAUUACCAGAUUCAGUUUGGCUAGAUAUUAUAUUGCAAUUUUUCAGUGUCUUGCUCAAUGUUACCAUAUAUAGGUUGGCAAUGCUUCGUUCAGUUUGGCUAGAUAUUCUAUUGCAAUUUUUCAUAGACAUUAUAUUACAAACUUACUCCUUGCCUAUGUUUACAUUAAUGUUUUUUUUUUUUUUUUUUUUUUGAUUGGCAAGCGUGGUUGAGGGGACCCCUACCCCUUUAAAUUACGUGUAGAAACUUAUACCAACAAUCAGCUGUUGGUGUGUUUCGAACCCACGACCUCUCCACUUUGUGAGAGGGGUGCUACCAUUGAGCCACAGGCUCAUUCGCCAAAUGGUGUGGUAAGCCUGUUUUUAAUGAGAUCAGUAACUCGGUAAUGCUGGUGAGAUUCGAACCCUAGAUCUCUGGUAUCAUCACCCAAAGGUUUUAUCAAUUGAGCCCAAUUGGCACCUGCAUGUUUACAUUAAUGUUGCAACUGCAUUGGCUGAAGUGUAGGGGUGGGCACGGUUCGGUUCCAUUUUACCACUAAACUGAAACCGAACUGUGUAAGCUGGUUCGGUUCGGUUUCAAAAACCGAAAAUUAUUAAGCUAAACUAGAUCAGACCGAACCAAUUUAAUUCGUUUCGGUCUUCGGUUUGGGACUUUAUUUUUGGCCUGUGUUUUGGAGUUUAAUAACUCAUAACUUUUCUUUUCUUUAUAUAUAACAGGCCUGAAUAUGACCAUUUAGACUCCGCCCAUUUAAUUGUUUUUUUUUUUUUUUUUUUGUAAUUUAUUGAAUAUUUGAAUAUAAUCUAACAUUUAUCAAAAAAAAAAAUCUAACCUAUAUUGAAAUAACGUAAAAUAACAUAUAUAUAAGGAAAAAAAAUAAAAUAUAUAUAUUCUCGGUUCGGUUCGAACCGAAAUAUUAGAAUAGGAACUAGAACUGGACUGUAUAUACUCGGUUCGGUUCCAGUUCCAGUUCGGUUUUGACCUGGUUUAGUUCCGGUUUUAAUUCGGUUUUCCGAUUUUUUGCCAACCCGUAGCUAAUACGCUAUAGCGAUCCGACCUAUAUCACCACCGAUAUUGUUCCCACUUAGCCGACAGUGUGGGGUUUUAUGGGCAGCAACAUGCUUCCUAAGAGGUCACCCAUCAUGAGACUACUCUCAGACGAACCCGUUUAACUCCAAAGUUCUUUUGAACCCUAGAGAUAAGUGAACCCAAAAGGCCUCGGUAAUAAUAUACGACGAAUCUAUACCUAUAUUCCAAUGUCAAGACACCCCCUCUUAUGUGUCGUACGACCCACCCUCUCGGUAAAUCACCUGCCGACCCGGGGUGUUACAUACGCAUAAUAAUCUUUUGUUUUCUCAUUUGAUUCACGAAUAAGAAGCAUAUUUUACAAAUUGGCUUAGUUGUGGCAUUAUGGACAAGUUGAAUUGCAAAUCUAAUACGAGGGUUUGUGACUCUCUUGAAACAGGUACCAUAUAUAAGCGUUCCAAAUUAUGGGCCUCCUUAACUUUAGGGAGAAGAGAGAUCACCUCCGUUGGCCCUCUGCGAUAUCCUUUGGAAUGGUGGGAUUCAAAGAGACUUAUACAGCAGGUACAUACUACGUAUUAUCAACCCAAAUUUGGUCAAAGUUUCCAUCGCCUUCUUUUGAUUUAUUUAUUUACUUACAAUUGGGUAAGUUUCAAUUAAUUGUUUUUUCUCAAUUAUUUCAUUGUCAUAAGAAUUAACUCUCCAAAAGGUAACAUGGCAUAAUGCUUGAAAUUUUUUGUUUUCUAUACUUUGUAUUUUCUUUAUCGUUUUUACUAGGUAGGGUUAAUAGUUAAUAGUAUUAACUAUUAACAUUGAUGAGAUUGUGUGUUGGUGGUGGUGGUGAGCGGCGGUGUAAGUGGUGGUGGUUGAUGGAAAAAUUGAAAUUGUGAUUGGGUCUGGUUUGUUUGAGUUGAGGUUGCUUGACAUUUGAUUUGAUUUGAAGCCCAACUGCCUAAGCCCAUAGUUACCAUAAGACCAACCGCCCAAGCCCAUAGUAAACGAGCUGCUACAAUUGGGUAAGUUUCAAUUAAUUGUUUUUUCUCAAUUAUUUCAUUGUCAUAAGAAUUAACUCUCCAAAAGGUAACAUGGCAUGAGCGAGCCGAGCCGAGCUUUUAUCGAGCCGAGCCCGAGCCGCUCGGCUCAGAUAGCAGCCCUAGUUAAUACACUCAUUUUCUUUAUCGUUAAUUAUUUCAAUGUAUGUUUAUUAGGUACGGUCUUGGUUUUUUACAGAUAGCAAGAUGACUAUCUGUCAGAAAGUGUUUUACUAAAAAGAAAUUAAAUAGCCUCACUGCCAAAAGAUUAACAAAGAUGAAUGGACUUCUUGUUCUUAUUUCACUGGUUUAAACAAGGAUGGUUUACUCUUCGAUUAGAUUGCUUAUGUUGCUAGUCUUAAGCACUUUUGAUGAUGAUAUUGUAGUCUGAACUCUGAAAUACAUCGUUUUUGUAAAGGUUUCAGACUCAUUACUACCAAAAUGGAUCUCUACAGAUAAAUUUAAUAGUCGGGAAGCGAUACAAUUGCAAAGACUGUUUGGAGGAACGUAUUGUCACUGAGGGAGGCUUAGGGCGUACUUGCUCCAAGUGUUUAGAUCUUGUGUAUCAGAAUCACAUACUGUACGUGUGAACUUAUUGUGAUUGAUCGUACAUCGUGACGAUGCUUCAGCAGCUGCAAAAUAUGGUCUUGUUUUUGCGAUAACUACCAAAAUUGAAAGAUCAAUCAGCACCACCAGCUCUUCAGUAUAUAUAUAUCAUCGGAGGAAGCUGAAAAUGGCUGGAUUUUCUGAAGGGGGAUCAUGCCUAUGCCAAAAAUAUCAUUUAAUGAGGUUCUGCUUAAUGCAUCAAAAGCCGGUGUGUAUAAAUACAAUUCUCAAUGCCCAUAUUUCACACAUUCUCCCUGUUCUGUGUUCUGAACGGAUCUGCAAUCCAGGUUAAAUUGUGCCAGUGUUCACCAGUUUCCCUGUUUUGACUUAAUUAGAGUUCCCUAGUUAAACUGAUACAUUAUGAACAUUGUAUUUAUCCUUUGUGUAGCUGUUUAACCAUGAGGGCAUUUGAUUUGUAACCAUGUCUCACUCCUCUUCAUAGCACGGGUAGCUUGUUUAUGCAGCGAUUAUUUGCAAAGACUCCUAUUAUGUUCUUAUUCUCUUGUUUUCAUCACCUGCCUCUUUCUGCUGACCUCUCGUAUUAUGUUCUAGAGUAUAAGUACUUAUUCAAAGUCCAAAUAUUAGUUGGGCUAGUCACCUAUUGUAUAAUUGUAUAAUGAUUUCGCACUAACUUUUUCUUCGUCAUUGAGGUCCCACACGUCACCAAGUAACUUUUUAUUAUUUCGUCCAUCAACUCAUCCCCAAUUAUUUGGUCCUUUCUUCUUCUUCUUCUUCACUGUUUAGCAAUUAACUUUGUUGUCCCAAUGCAGAUCCAUUUCAUUUCAUGCAUAUAUGUUCUAUUAGUGAAGUCUCAAUCUUCCUAGCUUAAUUUGUUUACUAAAACAACUUCUAGCACCUUAAUAUUUGUGUUUUGGUAUGUAUAAUCUUUAAAUUUAUUUUUUUAUUUUUUUUAAUUUCAUAAAAGAAGUGCAUUAAGAAUUGAAUUUUUAAUUUUAGGUACUGAAGAUGAGUCGAAGAACAGGUCUUGCUUUUCACCUAUAGACCAAGAAUGAGUUGAGCAAUUAAUUUGACUAUUGAGCAAUUAGCUAGUAAGCCUUUCUACCUUCUUCAUCUUGCC
rnacentral:lncRNA from 1 species